rnacentral:tRNA from 1 species
AUUUAAAUAGUUUAAUAAAAAUAUUGAUUUGUGGUAUCAAAGAUGUAAAAUUUAUAUUUAUUUUAAAUA